rnacentral:rRNA from 1 species
GACGAACGCUGGCGGCGUGCUUAACACAUGCAAGUCGAACGGACAGGCCCUGCUUUUGUUGGUUGCUCGAGUGGCGAACGGGUGAGUAACACGUGAGUAACCUGCCCUUGACUUUGUGAUAACUUCUGGAAACUGCGGCUAAUACCGGAUAUGAGCUCCUGCUGCAUGGUGGGGGUUGGAAAGUUUCGGCGGUUGUGGAUGGACUCGCGGCUUAUCAGCUUGUUGGUGUGGUAGUGGCUUACCAAGGCUUUGACGGGUAGCCGGCCUGAGAGGGUGACCGGCCACAUUGGGACUGAGAUACGGCCCAGACUCCUACGGGAGGCAGCAGUGGGGAAUAUUGCACAAUGGGCGGAAGCCUGAUGCAGCAACGCCGCGUGCGGGAUGACGGGCUUCGGGUUGUAAACCGCUUUCGCAUGUGACGAAGAGGGAGUGACGGUAAUGGGUAAAGAAGCAACGGCUAACUACGUG